rnacentral:tRNA from 1 species
ACCUGGAUGGCUCAGUCAGUUAAGUGUCUGACUUUGGCUCAGGUCAUGAUCUCACAGUUCGUGAGUUCAAGCCCCACUCUGGGCU